ensembl:lincRNA C430042M11Rik RIKEN cDNA C430042M11 gene
AUAUAGAAUGCUCUCCUCCUCUCAAGCACCAGGUCUGCCUACACACGGCUGUGCUUCCCACCAUGAUGAUAAUAAACUAAACCCCUGAAACUAAGCCAGCCCAGAGUAUGUUUUCCAUCAUGAGAGCUGCCAUGGUCAUGGGGUCUCUUCACAGCAAGAGAACCCCUGACUCAGACAGUGAGUUUGGAGGUGAGAUGACGAUUGUGGGGAAUCAGCUCUUUCUUUCCAUCACUGCGGAUCCCAGGGAAGGACGUUAGGUCGUCAGCUCAGUGACAAGCAUCUGUACCUCUAAUCCAUCUUGCCCCUGCCCUUUGCAGUGGCCAUGUCUGUUUGUCAACUUGAUGAUACCCGGAAUGAGCAACCAUCCAGAAGUGGAGGACAUACCUAUGGGAGAUGACUCCGCUGGGUUUGUAGUGGAUGAAUCUACUUCUAGACCAGCUUUGAGGUGAGAUCUGGAUCUUGAGGUGGGAAGACAUACCUUUAACCUGGGCCACACCCUCUGCUGGAAGUCUAUGGAAGAGGACGACAUAGGAAGCUUUCGUUCUUUGCCUGCUCACCCUCGCCUCUCGAGCACAUCCAUCCCUUCACUGGCGUUAGCGCCGAUAGAUAGAUAGAUAGAUAGAUAGAUAGAUAGAUAGAUAGAUAGAGAAAAGUAGAUAGAUAGACAGAGAGGGGGGAGAGAGAUUCAUUCUAUAAGUUCUGCUCUAGAGAACCGUGACGAAUAUACCUUCUUCUCCUUCUCCUUCUCCUUCUCCUUCUCCUUCUCCUUCUCCUUCUCCUUCUCCUUCUUCUUCUUUUUCUUUUUCUGAGAGAUAGUCUCCCAUAGUUGCUCAGGCCCUUGGGCUUCCUCUGCAGCACAAAUAGCUUUGAAUUUUCUCUCCUGUCUCAGCCUCCAGUAGCUAGGAUUAUAGUCUGUUGCCACCAGGUCUGGCUUACUAGCAUUAUUUUGACACCACUAAUUUUGUGUUAUAGCAUCAAUAGAAAAACCAGCUGAGUCUAGUCAAUGAAAAACCCAAAACAAGACGUUAGCAUAGGUGCCACCAGCAAUAUCUGCAGAAGACCACGGACUCGGAGUGGAGUCCAGCAUCUGCUCAGUACACCAAGCGAAUGUCGGGAAAGUUCAAAGGCAGGAUCUGCGAAUCAUUGGCUCCUGGAGACCCUGAAAUGGACUGAGCAGCUAACUAUUAUAUCUGUGUGUAUGUGUCAGUUCUCUUGCUCUGCAGACACCUUCAGAAUUCAGCGCUGGCUGCUGUUCUUAGAACCUGUUCUGUUCUUGGAGCUGCGUCAUUGUUGUAUUGUUUUCUUUGUUCAACUAAACUCUACUUCCUAUGAUAGAACUAAGGAAUUCUUCCUUUCCUCAACACAAUUAUAUCAAUAAUUAAAUAUGAAAUGUGUGGACCCAGCUAC